UACGUAGGGGGCAAGCGUUGUCCGGAAUCAUUGGGCGUAAAGCGCGUGUAGGCGGUUCGGUAAGUCGGCUGUGAAAGUCCAGGGCUCAACCCUGGGAUGCCGGUCGAUACUGCCGGACUAGAGUUCGGAAGAGGCGAGUGGAAUUCCCGGUGUAGCGGUGAAAUGCGUAGAUAUCAAGAGGAACACCUGAGGUGAAGACGGGUUGCUGGGCUGACACUGACGCUGAUGCGCGAAAGCCAGGGGAGCAAACGGG
rnacentral:rRNA from 1 species